rnacentral:rRNA from 1 species
GAUGAACGCUGGCGGCGUGCCUAAUACAUGCAAGUCGAGCGAAUGGAUUAAGAGCUUGCUCUUAUGAGGUUAGCGGCGGACGGGUGAGUAACACGUGGGUAACCUGCCCAUAGGACUGGGAUAACUCCGGGAAACCGGGGCUAAUACCGGAUAACAUUUUGAACCGCAUGGUUCGAAAUUGAAUGGCGGCUUCGGCUGUCACUUAUGGAUGGACCCGCGUCGCAUUAGCUAGUUGGUGAGGUAACGGCUCACCAAGGCAACGAGGCGUAGCCGACCUGAGAGGGUGAUCGGCCACACUGGGACUGAGACACGGCCCAGACUCCUACGGGAGGCAGCAGUAGGGAAUCUUCCGCAAUGGACGAAAGUCUGACGGAGCAACGCCGCGUGAGUGAUGAAGGCUUUCGGGUCGUAAAACUCUGUUGUUAGGGAAGAACAAGUGCUAGUUGAAUAAGCUGGCACCUUGACGGUACCUAACCAGAAAGCCACGGCUAACUACGUGCCAGCAGCCGCUGUAA